UACAGAGGUCCCAAGCGUUGUUCGGAUUCACUGGGCGUAAAGGGUGCGUAGGUGGCAUGGUAAGUUUGAUGUGAAAUCUCCGGGCUUAACCCGGAAAUGGCAUUGAAUACUACUGUGCUGGAGGUUUGGAGGGGGGACUGGAAUUCUCGGUGUAGCAGUGAAAUGCGUAGAUAUCGAGAGGAACACCAGUGGCGAAGGCGAGUCCCUGGACAACACCUGACACUGAGGCACGAAAGCUAGGGGAGCAAACAGGG
rnacentral:rRNA from 1 species